rnacentral:rRNA from 1 species
UAGGGAAUCUUCGGCAAUGGACGAAAGUCGGACCGAGCAACGCCGCGUGAGUGAAGAAGGUUUUCGGAUCGUAAAAGUCUGUUGUUAGAGAAGAACAAGGACGUUAGUAACUGAACGUCCCCUGACGGUAUCUAACCAGAAAGCCACGGCUAACUACGUGCCAGCAGCCGCGGUAAUACGUAGGUGGCAAGCGUUGUCCGGAUUUAUUGGGCGUAAAGCGAGCGCAGGCGUUUUCUUAAGUCUGAUGUGAAAGCCCCCGGAUCAACCGGGGAGGGUCAUUGGAAACUGGGAGACGUGAGUGCAGAAGAGGAGAGUGGAAUUCCAUGUGUAGCGGUGAAAUGCGUAGAUAUAUGGAGGAACACCAGUGGCGAAGGCGGCUCUCUGGUCUGUAACUGCCGCUGAGGCUCGAAAGCGUGGGGAGCAAACAGG